GUGGUGAAUAGCCACGACUACUGACGGUACCGGAAGAAUAAGCACCGGCUAACUACGUGCCAGCAGCCGCGGUAAUACGUAGGGUGCCGAGCGUUUAAUCGGAAUUACUGGGCGUAAAGCGUGCGCAGGCGGUUUUGUAAGCCAGAUGUGAAAUCCCCGGGCUCAACCUGGGAAUGGCAUUUGGGACUGCAAGGCUCGAGUGCGGCAGAGGAGACUGGAAUUCCUGGUGUAGCAGUGAAAUGCGUAGAUAUCAGGAGGAAUACCGAUGGCGAAGGCAGGUCUCUGGGCUGACACUGACGCUCAUGCACGAAAGCGUGGGGAGCAAACAGGAUUAGAUACCCUGGUAGUCCACGCCCUAAAUGAUGUCGACUGGUUGUUGGGGGUUUGACACUACUACAGUAACGAAGCUAACGCGUGAAGUCGACCGCCUGGGGAGUACGGCCGCAAGGUU
rnacentral:rRNA from 1 species